GACUAAAUAAGGGUAUUGAUUCCUUAAGAGCUUUUCUGUUUUCUUUCAUUGGGAAAUAUUGCUGCCUGAACCAUUCUCUCUGAAAUGUAGGUGAGAAGUUAUUUUAGUAGUGUCAUAAAUCUCCAUCUUUAGCUCUUCUUUGCUGUGUAAACAAGUGUUUGUCAGUCCACGGGGGUUAAUUUGUCCAUGUUAAACUUUUUGAGAUCCCUCAAGAGUCUUCCGUUGGUAGACAGUAACUUAAAAUAAAGUCACACAUGAGUAUAUACACCUGUCAGCUGUUUUGUAUAUGUAUACAAUUAGCUUGAAUUCUUCC